rnacentral:lncRNA from 1 species
UGCAAUUCACAUUGUAACAAUUCAAUAAAAGUUUAAUAAGAAAAACUAAUCAAUAAAAGUUAGUUACAUAAACUUUUAUUUCUCUAACUCUACUAAUGCCAAAUAAAAUCUCCUGCAUAUGUUGUACAGCACCAUCUUUUUGUCUUGUCAUAUGCAUCAACUUACUACAAAACAAUCCACAUGCAAAGUUUCAUCAUUAAUCCAAGCUAAGUAAGUCUAAAUCAUAAUCUAAAAAAGUUACUUUCAAGUACAAAGGUCCAGAUUAACUGUUACCUUGAACAUCCAUAAUAUUAUGAUGUGGAGGUUAAGAAGAUUCAUGGCUUGUUGUUUAAACUUGGGUUGGAAUUGGAUGUUUUUGUUGGAAG